rnacentral:lncRNA from 1 species
AUUUAAAGGGCCAGGCACAUAAAAUAUUUCUUACUGCAGGAAUUUGUCCCUAUGUGGCUCCGCUUAACUAUGCAGAGGUUGUAACUUACCUGUAGAUCAGUGAGACUCUGCAUGGAAAAUGUUCAUGGAUGAAGAAAUAAGUACAGGCUAUGAACUUUGUGCAUGGUAUUGGUCCCCGCACCUUUCAUUCAUCAGGAAAGGUCUAAAAUCCCCUAGCAUGAGGAUGUAGCAGAGCCCAGGAUGAGUGCUCCCUCAGACAGAGCUGCUGCAGCAGGAGCACUGAGUGUUCACAGCAAAUCAAUCAACACUUGCUGAGUUCUUUUAAAAACCAAUCGAGGACCCCACAAAUUAUUCAUCUUACAGACCUGAAUCCAAGUGAAGAGAACAAUGAGUAAAGCCUUCUCAGCAGGCUUGCAUAGCAAGCACCUUUAUGCAUUGUCAUCUUUGUGGUGUUUGUAAAGCAUGCUGAAGACAAAUGAUCCUUCAUCCCAAGGAAAUUGUGAUCUAGAGAUGACAGACAUCAUGACCAACAAAAAUGAAACUCUAUCCUCACCGGAAAUGCCCCAAGACCUUCCAGAAUUUGGCCUGGAAAAAGACUAAGAGAAGAAAAAAGUUACUUCAUCUCCAGAAGAUUCCAGAGGUUUGUGAUAAACACAGAUUUAGUUCUGGAAAAAAAAACCAGAAAAACAAAAAACUGGUUUUUGCAGCUGCUGGUGCCCUGGGUAAGGGCGAAGGGUUGGCAGUGGAGGAUGAGAGGUUUGAAGUAGCCAACUGAUUCCUUACCUUCUUGAUCUGUUCUUUUCUCUCCUGGCCAAUGAGAUGGCAAGGAAUCCCAUUCCCUUGGUUUCCAAUUUCUCAGGGAAAUGACAGCAGAGAAAGUUGGUGAAGAAACAGCUGCUUUAGGGACCACAUCUG